CGCACCGGGAGUCACCUGAUCACCCUGGCAACGCGCGCAGGGCGGGGCGAGGCGAGGCUGGCGUCACAGCACGAGCCCCGCCCCCAACUGCUCGGCCUCCAAGCGCCGCCGGAAGCGCUCUGUUGCAGUCGGCGCCGUAGGGACUGGAGAUCGGCCUCUGACUUCCCAACGUGGGCCUCCCAGCUGCGCUGGAUACUUGGGACUCCCACAGGCGUCCCCCUCAGAAAAGUUGUAUCUAAUGAGAAGCAAAUUCUGGCACUCAGAGGUUGAGCCGUGUUGACAUCAUCGCAUAGAACCUGCCAUUGGUUUUACCUAAAUGCACUCUUCUUUCUGGAAGUACUACUUCUGAGGAAAGGGCAUCAGGGAGCACUUAAUGCUUUAAAUGUGUUUGUACAGCAACUUGUGUUCUCAAGAGGUAGCACAUAAAUGCAUGUGUUUUUAAUUUUGACUUGAAGCACUGAUUCCUGAAGUAGCCUGGCCUUCUGAUAGUGAUCUUAGAAAAUCAACCUAGAAGAAGAAUACAUUUCUCUCCCAGGCUGUGAGUCAAAUGACUAUGGCAAUGAAGUUCUGUCAACUAUGAAGCAUCCUCCUGCUUUUUAAUCUUUUCAGUAAUUAAGAAAAUAAAUUCAACACAUAUAAAUUAGAAAUAAUCAGCCUCUAAGUCUAUUUGCAUUUAUAUUUUUAAAAUGGACUGAUGACUUAGCACAUGACAUAAGAAAAUAAGAAGUCAGGGAAAUAUUAAAUCCACAUAUUCAUUCAACACAUUUACUGAGGGCCUACGGCCUACCAUGUGCCAGGGACUGCACUAGGCCCUGGGGAUGUAGAAAUAAGCAAAACAGAUUUUUUAAAGUCCUUGUGUAUAUGAAGCUUACAUUAUAGUAGAUGUGUCCAUUUAUAUACAGUCUUCAAGUCUCUGUGCCAUUGACAAGAACUAGUACUGUAUACCAGGAAGCAUGCAUGGCGAAUCCUCAGAUUCCUCUAUGCUAGGCUUUCUGCCAGUGCUCUGCAUACAUCAUCUCAUUAUUCUCUUCUUCCUAAGAGAUGUAGACACC